GAUAGAAGAGCCAAAUCUUAAAGACUGUUUUAAGAAAACUCUUUUGAAAUAUCUUUGAAAAAAUUAAGAUGCUGAAAAAAGAACAUACCUCGCUUCCCUCCCAGACCAUGGGUAAAAGUUCAAAUGAGUUCUGAACAGGGAUGACAGCCGCUGUUUUCCUCCUCUUUAUCUCCAAGCAGUCCAGAGUGGAUGAGUAAUGAUUUUGUUCCAAGAAGGAACUGUGAGGAGAUGGAAGAGGCAAAUGAUCCAGAAAUAGUAACUUUAUGGCAGUUCUUGUCUGUGGGAUAAUUUGUUGAGAAUUAUCACUGACAGGAUGUUUUUCU